GUGAACGCUGGCGGUGCGCCUAACACAUGCAAGUCGAGUGGGUUCAGACCCACGGCGAACGGCCUGCGUAACACGUUGGUAUCUCCCCCGAACUCAGGGAUAACCCGCCGAAAGGCGGAGUAAUACCGGAUGCCCUCGCAAGAGGAAAGAUUUUUCGGUUCGGGAUGAGCCUGCGGCCUAUCAGGUAGUUGGUAAGGUAACGGCUUACCAAGCCUAUGAACGGGUAGCUGGUCUGAGAGGACGACCAGCCAGAACGGAACUGCGACACGGUCCGUACUCCUACGGGAGGCAGCAGUGAGGAAUCUUCCGCAAUGGGCGAAAGCCUGACGGAGCGACACCGCGUGGAGGAUGAAGGUCUUUUUGAUCGUAAACUCCUGUUCUGAGGGACGAAAUUUUUGACGGUACCUCAGGAGAAAGCACCGGCUAAUUCUGUGCCAGCAGCCGCGGUAAGACAGAAGGUGCAAGCGUUACUCGGAAUUACUGGGCGUAAAGCGUCUGCAGGCUCCCUGUUAAGUCUGAUGUUAAAACACGAAGCUCAACUUCGUGUCUGUGUCGGAAAACUGGCAGGGGUCGAGUCACUCAGAGGCAUCUGGAAUGUCGUGUGUAGGGGUAAAAUCCGUAGAUCCACGAUGGAACGCCAAAAAGCGAAGGCAGGAUGCUGGGGGUGUACUGACGCUCAGAGACGAAAGCGUGGGGAGCAAAGGGGAUUAGAUACCCCCGUAGUCCACGCCCUAAACGAUGCGUGCUCGGUGUAGGAAUUUUUUCAAUUGAUUCCUGUGCCCAAGUUAACACGGUAAGCACGCCGCCUGGGAAGUACGGCCGCAAGGCUAAAACUCAAAGGAAUAGACGGGGACCCACACAAGCGGUGGAGCAUGGGGUUUAAUUCGAUGGUAAGCGAAGAACCUCACCCAGACUUGGCAUCUAAGGAAUCUGGCCGAAAGGUCGGAGUGCCGCAAGGAACCUUAAGACAGGCGAUGCACGGUCGUCGUCAGCUCGUGCCUUGAGGUGUACUGUUAAGUCAGCCAACGAGCGCAACCCUCAUCUUAUGUUGUUUUUUCAUAAGAGACUGCCGCCUCCAAGGCGGAGGAAGGUGGGGGAUGACGUCAGAUCAGCGUGUCCUUUAUGUCUGGGGCUACACCCAUGCUACAAUGGCCGGUACAAAGGGCAGCGAAGCCGCAAGGUAGAGCCAAUCCCAUCAAACCCGGUCUCAGUUCGGGUUGGAGUCUGCAACUCGACUCCAUGAAGUUGGAAUCGCUAGUAACCGUGGAUCAGCCAUGCCACGGUGAAUAAGUUCCUGGGUCUUGUACUCACCGCCCGUCAACUCAUGAAAGGCAGGGGCACCCGAAGCUCCGUUACGCGCAAGCGGCGGAACCACGGUGACACUGCUGAUUGGGAGU
rnacentral:rRNA from 1 species